rnacentral:tRNA from 1 species
UUUAUAAAUUAGUGUUUUAAGCACAUAAAAUUUUGAAUUUUAAAGAAAUAAUUUUAAGUUAUUAUUAUAAAA